GAGUUUGAUCGUGGCUCAGAUUGAACGCUGGCGGCAGGCCUAACACAUGCAAGUCGAGCGGUAGAGAGAAGCUUGCUUCUCUUGAGAGCGGCGGACGGGUGAGUAAUGCCUAGGAAUCUGCCUGGUAGUGGGGGAUAACGCUCGGAAACGGACGCUAAUACCGCAUACGUCCUACGGGAGAAAGCAGGGGACCUUCGGGCCUUGCGCUAUCAGAUGAGCCUAGGUCGGAUUAGCUAGUUGGUGAGGUAAUGGCUCACCAAGGCGACGAUCCGUAACUGGUCUGAGAGGAUGAUCAGUCACACUGGAACUGAGACACGGUCCAGACUCCUACGGGAGGCAGCAGUGGGGAAUAUUGGACAAUGGGCGAAAGCCUGAUCCAGCCAUGCCGCGUGUGUGAAGAAGGUCUUCGGAUUGUAAAGCACUUUAAGUUGGGAGGAAGGGCAGUAAAUUAAUACUUUGCUGUUUUGACGUUACCGACAGAAUAAGCACCGGCUAACUCUGUG
rnacentral:rRNA from 1 species